rnacentral:tRNA from 1 species
UGUUCUAUGGCCGAAUUGGUACCAAUGGUAUGAAUUGGUAGGUUGCGGGUUCGAGUCCCGCUGGAACGG